AAAGAUUUGGUGCGUAAUAUGCGUGCGAACUCAUAUGCCGGUAUCAUCGAAAUUUACAGACCUACCAGUGGAAACUAAGGUUUUAUAAUUGGAAUUUGGAAUGCUGGGUGUAUUGGGCUGUAUUUGACUGUACACAUGCCACCCCAUUGUAAAUUAAGAAGAGAUAUUACUGUAGAAAACAAUACCAUUCAUUAAAUAUAUAAUUGGUUAGUAAUGCUGACAUGGAGAUUAUAAGUGUGGAUGCCAACUGGAACUGGAGCUACUCAUGACAUUUGGGCAAACCAGAGGCAUUAAGCAACAUCUAGAGGACUUAAGCUGGAAUAAAUCCUUAUGAUUACUUGGAGAUCCAGGAUAUGCUUUAGAGAAGUAUACUCCCAUCUCAAAUGCUAUACCAGGACCACAAGAAGCAUAUUACACUGUAAGAACAUGGAAUAUCAUUGAGAGCACAAUUGGGCUUCUAGAUUUAGAUGCCUACAUGUACUUUGAGCUCUUAUAGAGAACUAAAUGAAGGUCUAGCUGCUAGACAAACCCAUGUUGUUUAGUUGUGGAACUAAGAAAUUGAAACAUUUAUAAAUAAUAAUAUUGUUAAUAGGUCAAUGUUUUAAUU